rnacentral:rRNA from 1 species
UAAGGAAUAUUGCGCAAUGGGCGACAGCCUGACGCAGCGACGCCGCAUGGGGGAUGAAGGUCUUCGGAUUGUAAACCCCUUUCGGCAGGGAAGAUGGAACGGGUAAUCGUUCGGACGGUACCUGCAGAAGCAGCCACGGCUAACUUCGUGCCAGCAGCCGCGGUAAUACGAAGGUGGCAAGCGUCGUUCGGAUUUACUGGGCGUACAGGGAGCGUAGGCGGUUGGGUAAGCCCUCCGUGAAAUCUCCGGGCCUAACCCGGAAAGUGCGGAGGGGACUGCUCGGCUAGAGGAUGGGAGAGGAGCGCGGAAUUCCCGGUGUAGCGGUGAAAUGCGUAGAGAUCGGGAGGAAGGCCGGUGGCGAAGGCGGCGCUCUGGAACAUAUCUGACGCUGAGGCUCGAAAGCGUGGGGAGCAAACAGGAUUAGAUACCCCGGUAGUCCCUGAGCGGGCUGGCAAGGCGCAU